rnacentral:tRNA from 2 species
AGUUUUUUGUUUAGGAAACACAUGAUUUUGAAAAUCAUUAAAAGAGGUUCAAUUCCUCUAAAAACUU